CACUAGCCCCCGGGGUGCGCUCGCGCGCUGAGAUUGCGGAAGAUCCGCUGACCCGUGGAACCUGAUCUGGUUCGUACCAGCGAAGGGAGCAGGGCGACGUCGGCCGU
rnacentral:ncRNA from 1 species